rnacentral:rRNA from 1 species
UACGUAGGGGGCUAGCGUUGUCCGGAAUCAUUGGGCGUAAAGCGCGUGUAGGCGGUCCGGUAAGUCCGCUGUGAAAGUCGGGGGCUCAACCCUCGGAUGCCGGUGGAUACUGGCGGGCUAGAGUAUGGCAGAGGGGGGGUAGAAUUCCACGUGUAGCAGUGAAAUGCGUAGAGAUGUGGAGGAAUACCGAUGGCGAAGGCAGCCCCCUGGGCUGAGAUUGACGCUCAGGCACGAAAGGCGUGGGGAGCAAACAGGG